rnacentral:rRNA from 1 species
GGAUGGACUCGCGGCCUACCAGCUAGUCGGUGAGGUAACGGCUCACCAAGGCGUCGACGGGUAGCCGGCCUGAGAGGGUGACCGGCCACACUGGGACUGAGACACGGCCCAGACUCCUACGGGAGGCAGCAGUGGGGAAUAUUGCACAAUGGGCGCAAGCCUGAUGCAGCAACGCCGCGUGGGGGACGAAGGCCUUCGGGUUGUAAACCUCUUUUAGUAGGGAAGAAGCGAAAGUGACGGUACCUGCAGAAAAAGCACCGGCUAACUACGUGCCAGCAGCCGCGGUAAUACGUAGGGUGCGAGCGUUGUCCGGAAUUAUUGGGCGUAAAGAGCUCGUAGGCGGUUUGUCACGUCUGCUGUGAAAGCCCGAGGCUCAACCUCGGGCCUGCAGUGGGUACGGGCAGACUAGAGUGCGGUAGGGGAGAACGGAAUUCCUGGUGUAGCGGUGGAAUGCGCAGAUAUCAGGAGGAACACCGAUGGCGAAGGCAGUUCUCUGGGCCGUAACUGACGCUGAGGAGCGAAAGCGUGGGGAGCGAACAGGAUUAGAUACCCUGGUAGUCCACGCCGUAAACGUUGGGCGCUAGAUGUGGGGACCAUUCCACGGUUUCCGCGUCGUAGCUAACGCAUUAAGCGCCCCGCCUGGGGAGUACGGCCGCAAGGCUAAAACUCAAAGGAAUUGACGGGGGCCCGCACAAGCGGCGGAGCAUGCGGAUUAAUUCGAUGCAACGCGAAGAACCUUACCAAGGCUUGACAUAUGCGAGAACGCUCUAGAAAUAGAGAACUCUUUGGACACUCGUAUACAGGUGGUGCAUGGUUGUCGUCAGCUCGUGUCGUGAGAUGUUGGGUUAAGUCCCGCAACGAGCGCAACCCUCGUCGCAUGUUGCCAGCACGUAAUGGUGGGAACUCAUGUGAGACUGCCGGGGUCAACCCGGAGGAAGGUGGGGAUGACGUCAAAUCAUCAUGCCCCUUAUGUCUUGGGCUUCACGCAUGCUACAAUGGCCGGUACAAAGGGCUGCGAAACUGCAAGGUGGAGCGAAUCCCAAAAAGCCGGUCUCAGUUCGGAUUGAGGUCUGCAACUCGACCUCAUGAAGUCGGAGUCGCUAGUAAUCGCAGAUCAGCAACGCUGCGGUGAAUACGUUCCCGGGCCUUGUAC